GCUGGGCAUGGUGGCACAUGCCUGUAGUCCCAGCUACUUGGGAGGCUGAGGCAGGAGAAUCGCUUGAAUCCAGGGGUUGGAGGUUGCAGUGAGCCGAGAUCACACCACUGCACUCCAGCCUGGGUGACAGAGUGAGACUCUGUCUCAA
ensembl:misc_RNA Metazoa_SRP Metazoan signal recognition particle RNA